rnacentral:rRNA from 1 species
AUGAACGCUAGCUACAGGCUUAACACAUGCAAGUCGAGGGGCAGCAUGAUUGAAGCUUGCUUCAAUUGAUGGCGACCGGCGCACGGGUGAGUAACACGUAUCCAACCUGCCCAUCACUUGGGGAUAACCUUGCGAAAGUAAGACUAAUACCCAAUGAUAUCUCUAGAAGACAUCUGAAAGAGAUUAAAGAUUUAUCGGUGAUGGAUGGGGAUGCGUCUGAUUAGCUUGUUGGCGGGGUAACGGCCCACCAAGGCGACGAUCAGUAGGGGUUCUGAGAGGAAGGUCCCCCACAUUGGAACUGAGACACGGUCCAAACUCCUACGGGAGGCAGCAGUGAGGAAUAUUGGUCAAUGGACGAGAGUCUGAACCAGCCAAGUAGCGUGCAGGAUGACGGCCCUAUGGGUUGUAAACUGCUUUUAUAAGGGAAUAAAGUGAGUCUCGUGAGACUUUUUGCAUGUACCUUAUGAAUAAGGACCGGCUAAUUCCGUG